UACGUAGGGGGCAAGCGUUGUCCGGAUUUAUUGGGCGUAAAGAGCGUGUAGGCGGCCAUGCAGGUCAGCUGUGAAAACUUGAGGCUCAACCUCGAGACGUCGGUUGAAACCGUAUGGCUAGAGUCCGGAAGAGGAGAGUGGAAUUCCUGGUGUAGCGGUGAAAUGCGCAGAUAUCAGGAGGAACACCAAUGGCGAAGGCGGGUCUCUGGGCCGAUACUGACGCUGAGGAGCGAAAGCGUGGGGAGCGAACAGG
rnacentral:rRNA from 1 species